AAGCCGUGGUGUGGGCAUUGGUAUAGCUUCUGAACCGUUCCCAAGCUUCACUAAAGCUCUCGUUGUUAUGUUGUGUGAAACUUGAAAUCUGAUUUUUCAGCUU
rnacentral:snoRNA from 1 species